UCCUGCCACCCAGAGGAAACCUGAGCCGCAGCAGCUCCGGCUCCCCCUCUGCUGCCCCUCCCCACUGCUUUCCAAGUGCAGGUGGUGAGGCCAGUGGCCUGGUGGGUGACGGCCCUCCAGGUACUAGGAGGAAACUGUCCCCAGGGUGUUUGCUGGCUUGCAGUUAACAUGAGGCCUCUUCAGAGGAGAAACUUCUCCACUUCACAUCAGCCGUCUCUGGAAGAAGAAGGAGGAAAGAAAGAAGAGGAAGAAGAGGAGGAAGGAGGAAGAGGAAGAGGAAGAGGAGGAGGAGGGGGAAGAGAAAGGGGGGAAGGGAUUAUGAUUAUUAUUAGAACUGUAAUGAUUGUUAGAGGGAAAGAUCUAACUAUGACCUUCUGCAGGGCAGGGCAAGAGUGUGGAGAAAGCAUGAAUUUUGAAAUACUUCCCUCCCAGGAUGGGAUUUGGCUCUGGCAUUAGACUUAGGGAAAGCAGCUGCCAUAGCUGGGCCUAUGUGGCCCAGUCUGUGAAAUGGGGUGAUGAUGCUGUCACUGCAGUGCAGCUGGGCGCACUCUGCAUGUGUUUGUGGAGGGGCUCCUACCCAGGGGGCCUUGACAGGCGUCUUACAAAUCCAGAGCCUAGGUCCCAUGGGACCAGGCCAUUACCCCAGAUAGAAUUGCAUCCCAGUAGACUGCUCUGAGCACAAAUGUAUUCUAAAACCUCUGGAUGGGAGCUAAUCACUGCGGAAGUCACAGAGCCUCAGUUCCAGAUAUCAGAAGAGCCCCCAAAAAUGAGACCCUGGGGAAUGGCAGAGAAUGUUCUCUUUCUUUUCAAAUGACAAAUUUAUACAUGUGAAAAGUUUGAAACGACAUGCCAAAUAAAUCAUGAGUAGUCAUCAUAUAGCUGGUCACCUUUAUUAGGAAACAAUAAAAUGCAUGAAGUCGGUAGGGUGCAGGGAGGUGCAGGUCACAAGAGUCCCUGUACGAUUCUUUCCUCCUGUCCUAAGUUGGCACAGCAGCUCUCUUGCUCAUGAUUUAGACAAUGCACAACUGGCUGCUUCAGUCACAAAGAGAGAGACGAUUUGCUGGUAAGAUCCUCUGCUUUUUCUAGGAAAAUUCCACUCCAAGAUUCUGUAUGGACUCUCAUCCAAACACAUGGCAGGUGAUCAUCUAAACCACCCAGGGAAGGUGCCAGAGGUAAACAUCUAAUUAAUUAAAGAAAACCUCCCUCCCCACCCCAACCUGGAAAAGGCCCUGUCAUGGAGAAGUGCUCACUCUCGCCAAUGCACGCUCACACACGUACUUUCCAAACCGCUUCCAGGUGACUGGUCCGCAAGCGGCCUGCCUCUGUUAAUUAAAGUCUACAAACCUUCAAGCCCAUCGCCCUUCCUUGGUUGUCUGCGUGACCACAACCCCUACGCUCUUCCAAGCAACAUUUGCUCCAACUUAAUAUUCUGGUGCUUUCAGGAACAUUUAAAAAUAAACCAUUUUGGCACAUUGUCAAA